CAACAGGGAUUGCACUAGUAACGGCGAGUGAAGCGGCAACAGCUCAAAUUUGAAAUCUGGCCCUCGGGUCCGAGUUGUAAUUUGUAGAGGAUGCUUUUGGUGCGGUGCCUUCCGAGUUCCCUGGAACGGGACGCCAUAGAGGGUGAGAGCCCCGUCUGGUUGGACACCAAUCCUCUGUAAAGCUCCUUCGACGAGUCGAGUAGUUUGGGAAUGCUGCUCUAAAUGGGAGGUAUAUGUCUUCUAAAGCUAAAUACCGGCCAGAGACCGAUAGCGCACAAGUAGAGUGAUCGAAAGAUGAAAAGCACUUUGAAAAGAGAGUUAAAAAGUACGUGAAAUUGUUGAAAGGGAAGCGCUUAUGACCAGACUUGGGCUUGGUAGAUCAACCUGGGUUCUCCCUGGUGCACUCUUCCUCGUCCAGGCCAGCAUCAGUUCGCUGCGGGGGAUAAAGGUUUCGGGAAUGUGGCUCCCUCGGGAGUGUUAUAGCCCGUUGCGUAAUACCCUGCGGUGGACUGAGGUUCGCGUUCUGCAAGGAUGCUGGCGUAAUGGUCAUCAGCGACCCGUCUUGAAACACGGACCAAGGAGUCGUCUUCGUAUGCGAGUGUUCGGGUGUUAAACCCCUACGCGUAAUGAAAGUGAACGCAGGUGAGAGCUUCGGCGCAUCAUCGACCGAUCCUGAUGUUCUCGGAUGGAUUUGAGUAAGAGCAUACGGGGCCGGACCCGAAAGAAGGUGAACUAUGCCUGUAUAGGGUGAAGCCAGAGGAAACUCUGGUGGAGGCUCGCAGCGGUUCUGACGUGCAAAUCGAUCGUCAAAUAUGGGCAUGGGGGCGAAAGACUAAUCGA
rnacentral:rRNA from 1 species